UACGAAGGGGGCUAGCGUUGCUCGGAAUUACUGGGCGUAAAGGGCGCGUAGGCGGAUGAUUAAGUUGGGGGUGAAAGCCCGGGGCUCAACCUCGGAACUGCCUUCAAAACUGGUCAUCUUGAGUUCGGGAGAGGUGUGUGGAACUCCGAGUGUAGAGGUGAAAUUCGUAGAUAUUCGGAGGAGCACCAGAGGCGAAGGCGGCGACCUGGACAAGCACUGACACUCAACUACGAAAGCGUGGGGAGCAAACAGG
rnacentral:rRNA from 1 species